CUCUGUGAGCUGCUUUUGCGGCCUGUUGGUUCAUUCUGGCUUCUGCUUCUGCAUGUUUCUCUUCGACCCGCCGCUUCAUUAUUUCGAGGGAGCAGAAGCAUAAUCUUCAUCUAGCAGCCACUUGAGAUUCACUUCAGCAUCAAAAUAAACAUUUUUCUGCAUUAGCCGAAGCUCCUCUUUCUGGUGUAGAUGGAGUUGAGGAUUUAGGGCUACGAACGGGCGUCAUUGAUCCGAGAGGAGUCGUGGUUCUUGAUGGCUCGUGGCUUGCAAU